rnacentral:misc_RNA from 1 species
GAAGGCAGACUUCUGAAAGCCACUCCAAACAGCUGAGUUUACGGGUUUUCUUCUUCGAGGUCCAAAACCAUCCUAAUAAUUUUUGAUUUUUUCCUUCAUUAAUUGGGGAAGAAGACCGAAUCUAAUGAAGGAGAAGGAGGAAGGAGUGGAGAUAAGGGUAAACAGUGUACCUUACAACCACUAAGAUUGAUUACAACUCAGCAACCAUGGGUGAGGCGGGAGAGGCGCCGACCCCAGCUGUGGUGAAAGAGGGAUGGCUCAACAAACGAGGUGAGCACAUCAAGAAUUGGCGGCAGCGGUACUUCUUCCUCCUAGAGGAUGGGACUCUCCUGGGCUUCAAGACCAAGCCAGAACAUGGACUGGCAGACCCCCUUAAUAAUUUCACUGUAAAGCGCUGCCAGAUUCUGAAAACAGAGAAGCCACGUCCCAACACUUUUAUUAUACGAGGUCUACAUUGGACUACUGUCAUAGAGCGAACUUUUAAUGCACAGUCUGCUAGUGACAGAGAAGCAUGGAUGGAAGCAAUAAAGCAAGUGGCGGAGCGAAUAGCAGAGGUGGAUGCAACGUCUGGUCAGAAUGUCCAGAUCCAGCCAGCAGAUUGCGUUGACAUUAAACUCAAUUAUUCACAGGAGGAUGAUGAUGGGCUUGGGGCGAGAAGCUCAAAGAAGAAAAGAAAAAUUACAUUGGAUAAUUUUGAAUUCUUAAAGGUACUUGGGAAAGGCACAUUUGGAAAAGUAAUCUUGUGUCGAGAGAAGAGUAGUAAUCACUUUUAUGCUAUCAAGAUCCUUCGUAAGGAUGUAAUUAUUAAACGCGAUGAAGUUGCUCACACACUGACAGAAAACCGAGUAUUGCAAAGGGUUGACCACCCUUUCUUAACGUACCUCAAGUACUCAUUCCAAACAAAUGACCGCCUGUGCUUUGUAAUGGAAUAUGUGAAUGGUGGAGAGCUCUUCUUCCACCUCAACCAGGAACGCAUCUUCCCAGAGGAACGUGCCAAAUUCUACGGGGCUGAGAUCUGCUUAGCUCUGGGAUACCUUCACGAGAGAAACAUUAUAUAUCGUGAUUUAAAGCUAGAGAACUUACUCCUGGAUGCUGAUGGUCACAUUAAGAUUGCUGAUUUUGGUUUAUGCAAAGAAGAUAUAUCAUAUGGUUCUACGACACGAACUUUCUGUGGUACACCAGAGUAUCUGGCUCCUGAGGUACUGGAAGAAAAUGACUAUGGACGAGGUGUUGAUUGGUGGGGCUAUGGAGUGUGUCUCUAUGAGAUGAUGGUAGGACGUCUUCCCUUUUAUGACAAAGAUCAUGACAAACUCUUCCAACUCAUCGUUUGUGAAGAUGUAAGAUUCCCACGUACAAUAUCACAAGAAGCACGAGACCUCCUCAGGGGCCUGCUGCACAAGGACCCAAACACACGUCUUGGAGGUGGACCUAGAGAUGUAAAAGAGGUUCAGAAUCACCCCUUCUACAUCACCAUCAACUGGAAAUUACUGGAGGAGAAGAAAAUCACACCUCCUUUCAAACCACAAGUAACAAGUGAGACGGAUACACGGUACUUCGACCGAGAGUUUACAGGAGAGUCGGUGCAGCUCACUCCCCCAGACCAGGGAGAACAUCUCAACAGUAUUGAUGAAGAGUCAGAAUACUUUACGUUCAACCAGUUUUCAUACCAGGAUAUCUCAUCAACCCUUGGCAGCUCACUAGCAUCAAGCAUCAAUUCCCUAGAUGUUACAGAAGAAGGGUAAAGUGAAACUUUAUACAAGGGUUCUCUAAGAAUACUGAGAUACGAAUAUCCAAAAUGAGUGAUCUUCAGCCAAACUGGACAUGUAGAUUCCUUGUCAACACUUACACAGUGCACAUGGACAGUGCUGUAUACAUAUAUAUAUUAGUAAGGGAGGAAGAAUGGUGUGUAAGAAUCAG